GCUAAGCUUGUAACACUGUAACUCUCCCAGAGCCACUCAGCAGUAUUUAUAAUAGCGUGACGGACCUGUUUGAAAACCUCAAGAGCAGGGGCGGGAACCACAGGCAGUUCCCGCCCUUCUGAACAAUUCUCCCUUGCUCAGACUGAAGGAGACCAGGAGGGACCUGAGGCAACAGUAGAGCCUUAUUGGGAUUUAAUGAAUACUCCUAGGUAUAUACGUAGCAAUGAAGAGGAUGCAUGACAGCACAGAGAGAUGAGAGAAGAAAACGGCCCUUAAGAAGGCUAUAAAAAUAGGCAGUCCAAAGAAGAAAUAGAAGAGUAAGAAUUACAACCAUGAAAAGGAAAAUAAAGAAGGAAAGAUGGAUUUAAGAAGAAUUAGUAACAGAUUGGAUUUGGCAACAAAAGAAAGCGAAUAAUUGAAGUGUUACUUCACAAAAGAAUAGUGUUAUGAAUAGAAUGUAUAGGAAUGUCACUUGAAAGGUUGCUUCCUUUAUGUGGUUGGAUAUAUUCAGGGUAUGAUACAGGUGAACAAUCAAGCCAACAUUCUGCAAUCUUAGACAGAAGCUACUUAGAUGAGGAUGGUUCUACUGAGAGUCUGGUAUAGAAGAUGAACAAGCAAUCAUUCUGAAAUGCAAGUUUGAUCCUUAAGCAAGAGGACAGGCCUGAAAAGGAGAGACUUCAGUUACUUGCAUGAAAGUAACUAAAGAACCCAUGAAGGCAAAUAGGAUAGUACCUUAGAAAAUUCCUGCAGUUGGAAGGCUAGAAGUCACUUCUUCCUUUGUUGGUGCUCAGGAAAAUCAAAUAUGGUGGGUCAAAGCCAUUUUAAGAUUAGAAAUACAUGGGCUCCAGAAACAGUUAAUACACACUCAAAGUAAAUGUGAUUCAUAUUUAGCUCAUUUCUCAUCUCAUCCCAACCAUUUGAACUGAUUUUCAUUUUUAUUGACAUUUAUUAAUUUGUUCAUGUCCUAGUUGAAUUUGCUACAUGAAGUCAUUUGUUAAUUUUGAUGGGAUAAAAAAGUGUGAAACCCUCAA